GAUGAACGCUGGCGGCGUGCCUAAUACAUGCAAGUCGAGCGAACAGACGAGGAGCUUGCUCCUCUGACGUUAGCGGCGGACGGGUGAGUAACACGUGGAUAACCUACCUAUAAGACUGGGAUAACUUCGGGAAACCGGAGCUAAUACCGGAUAAUAUAUUGAACCGCAUGGUUCAAUAGUGAAAGACGGUUUUGCUGUCACUUAUAGAUGGAUCCGCGCCGCAUUAGCUAGUUGGUAAGGUAACGGCUUACCAAGGCAACGAUGCGUAGCCGACCUGAGAGGGGGAUCGGCCACACUGGAACUGAGACACGGUCCGGACGCCUACGGGAGGCAGCAGUAGGGAAUCUUCCGCAAUGGGCGAAAGCUUGAGGAGCAACGCCGCGUGAGUGAUGAAGGUCUUCGGAUCGUAAAACUCUGUUAUUAGGGAAGAACAAAUGUGUAAGUAACUAUGCACGUCUUGACGGUACCUAAUCAGAAAGCCACGGCUAACUACGUG
rnacentral:rRNA from 1 species